rnacentral:rRNA from 1 species
GAUGAACGCUAGCUACAGGCUUAACACAUGCAAGUCGAGGGGCAGCAUUUUAGUUUGCUUGCAAACUAAAGAUGGCGACCGGCGCACGGGUGAGUAACACGUAUCCAACCUGCCGAUAACUCGGGGAUAGCCUUUCGAAAGAAAGAUUAAUAUCCGAUAGCAUAUUGAGAUCGCAUGAUUUUGAUAUUAAAGAAUUUCGGUUAUCGAUGGGGAUGCGUUCCAUUAGUUUGUUGGCGGGGGUAACGGCCCACCAAGACUACGAUGGAUAGGGGUUCUGAGAGGAAGGUCCCCCACAUUGGAACUGAGACACGGUCCAAACUCCUACGGGAGGCAGCAGUGAGGAAUAUUGGUCAAUGGACGAGAGUCUGAACCAGCCAAGUAGCGUGAAGGAUGACUGCCCUAUGGGUUGUAAACUUCUUUAUAUGGAAUAAAGUGGUCCACGUGUGGAUUUUGUAUGUACCAUAUGAAUAAGGAUCGGCUAACUCCGUGCCAGCAGCCG